rnacentral:rRNA from 1 species
AACGAACGCUGGCGGCAGGCUUAACACACGCAAGUCGAACGGGUGUAGCAAUACAUCAGUGGCGCACGGGUGAGUAACGCGUGGGAAUAUGCCCUUUGGUACGGAACAACCUCGGGAAACUGAGGCUAAUACCGUAUGAUAUCUGCGGAUCAAAGAUUUAUCGCCAAAGGAUUAGCCCGCGUUGGAUUAGGUAGUUGGUGAGGUAACGGCUCACCAAGCCGACGAUCCAUAGCUGUUCUGAGAGGAUGAUCAGCCACACUGGGACUGAGACACGGCCCAGACUCCUACGGGAGGCAGCAGUGAGGAAUAUUGGACAAUGGAGGAAACUCUGAUCCAGCCAUGCCGCGUGAGUGAUGAAGGCCUUCGGGUUGUAAAGCUCUUUUACCCCUGACGAUAAUGACGGUAAGGGGAGAAAAAGCCACGGCUAACUUCGUGCCAGCCGCCGCGGUAA